rnacentral:rRNA from 1 species
UACGAAGGGUGCAAGCGUUACUCGGAAUUACUAGGCGUAAAGGGCAGGUAGGUGGUUUGGUAAGUCUGUUGUGAAAGCUCCUUGCUUAACGGGGAGAGGUCAACAGAUACUGCCAGGCUUGAGUCUAGGAGAGGGUACUGGAAUUCCCGGUGUAGCGGUGAAAUGCGCAGAGAUCGGGAGGAACACCAAUGGCGAAAGCAGGUACCUGGACUAGUACUGACACUCAGCUGCGAAAGCUAGGGGAGCAAACAGG